rnacentral:tRNA from 1 species
GGGAAUGUAGCUCAGUGGUAGAGUGUUUGCUUAGCAUGCAUGAAGUUCUGAGUUCAAUUCCUCAGUACCA